GACGAACGCUGGCGGCGUGCUUAACACAUGCAAGUCGAACGGAAAGGCCCUGCUUUUGUGGGGUGCUCGAGUGGCGAACGGGUGAGUAACACGUGAGUAACCUGCCCUUGACUUUGGGAUAACUUCAGGAAACUGGGGCUAAUACCGGAUAGGAGCUCCUGCUGCAUGGUGGGGGUUGGAAAGUUUCGGCGGUUGGGGAUGGACUCGCGGCUUAUCAGCUUGUUGGUGGGGUAGUGGCUUACCAAGGCUUUGACGGGUAGCCGGCCUGAGAGGGUGACCGGCCACAUUGGGACUGAGAGAGGGCCCAGAAUCGUACGGGAGGCAGAAGGGGGGAAUAUUGCACAAUGGGCGGAAGCCUGAUGCAGCAACGCCGCGUGCGGGAUGACGGCCUUCGGGUUGUAAACCGCUUUCGCCUGUGACGAAGCGUGAGUGACGGUAAUGGGUAAAGAAGCACCGGCUAACUACGUG
rnacentral:rRNA from 1 species